rnacentral:rRNA from 1 species
GACGAACGCUGGCGGCGUGCUUAACACAUGCAAGUCGAACGGAAAGGCUCCAGCUUGCUGGCGUACUCGAUUGGCGAACGGGUGAGUAACACGUGGGUAAUCUGCCCUGCACUCUGGGAUAAGCCUGGGAAACUGGGUCUAAUACUGGAUAUGACCUUUCUCCUUAUGGGGUUUGGUGGAAAGUUUUUCGGUGUAGGAUGAGCCCGCGGCCUAUCAGCUUGUUGGUGGGGUGAUGGCCUACCAAGGCGACGACGGGUAGCCGGCCUGAGAGGGUGAUCGGCCACAUUGGGACUGAGAUACGGCCCAGACUCCUACGGGAGGCAGCAGUGGGGAAUAUUGCACAAUGGGCGGAAGCCUGAUGCAGCGACGCCGCGUGAGGGAUGACGGCCUUCGGGUUGUAAACCUCUUUCAGCAGGGACGAAGCGUAAGUGACGGUACCUGCAGAAGAAGCACCGGCUAACUACGUG